rnacentral:rRNA from 1 species
AUUGAACGCUGGCGGCAUGCCUUACACAUGCAAGUCGAACGGCAGCACGGGAGCUUGCUCCUGGUGGCGAGUGGCGAACGGGUGAGUAAUGCAUCGGAACGUGCCCUGAAGUGGGGGGAUAACGUAGCGAAAGUUACGCUAAUACCGCAUAUUCUGUGAGCAGGAAAGCAGGGGAUCUUCGGACCUUGCGCUUUUGGAGCGGUCGAUGUCGGAUUAGCUAGUUGGUGGGGUAAGGCCACCAAGGCGACGAUCCGUAGCGGGUCUGAGAGGAUGAUCCGCCACACUGGAACUGAGACACGGUCCAGACUCCUACGGGAGGCAGC